UCGAGAAUCAUUCGCAAUGGGCGCAAGCCUGACGAUGCGACGCCGCGUGGUCGAAGAAGGCCUUCGGGUUGUAAAGACCUUUCGAGUGGGAACAAGGUUUACGGGCUAAUACCUUUGUAGAUUUGAGCGUACCACUGGAAGAAGCACCGGCUAACUACGUGCCAGCAGCUGCGGUAAUACGUGGGGUGCAAGCAUUAAUCGGAAUUACUGGGCGUAAAGGACGCGUAGGCGGCUUUUUAAGUCUGAUGUGAAAUUACGGGGCUUACCCUCGUAGCUGCAUCGGAAACUGAGGAGCUAGAGGAUGGAAGGGGAAAGCGGAAUUCCAUGUGUAGCGGUGAAAUGCGUAGAUAUAUGGAAGAACACCGGUGGCGAAAGCGGCUUUCUGGUACAUACCUGACGC
rnacentral:rRNA from 1 species